GCAAGUCGAACGAGAUCCCGGAGCUUGCCCCGGGGGACAGUGGCGAACGGGUGAGUAACACGUGAGAAACCUGCCCUAGAGACCGGGACAACCAUUGGAAACGAUGGCUAAUACCGGAUGCCUUCACAUGGUCGCAUGACCGAGUGAAGAAACGCUCAGGUGCUCUAGGAGGGUCUCGCGGCCUAUCAGCUAGUUGGUGAGGUAAUGGCUCACCAAGGCAUCGACGGGUAGCUGGUCUGAGAGGACGAUC
rnacentral:rRNA from 1 species